UACGGGGGGGGCAAGCGUUGUUCGGAAUUACUGGGCGUAAAGGGCUCGUAGGCGGCCCACUAAGUCAGAUGUGAAAUCCCCAGGCUCAACCUGGGAACUGCAUCUGAUACUGGUGGGCUUGAAUUCGGGAGAGGGAUGCAGAAUUCCAGGUGUAGCGGUGAAAUGCGCAGAUAUCGGGAGGAACACCAAUGGCGAAGGCAGCUCGCUGGGACGGUACUGACGCUGAGACGCGAAAGCGUGGGGAGCAAACAGG
rnacentral:rRNA from 1 species